CCAGAGUGCUCAGUUCUACAAGAUGACCACAGAGAACUACCACAAGGCUGCCGACGGAAUCAACGCAAAGUUCAAGCGGUUUGAGGUGAGUCCAGUGUGUGCUGAUCUGCAGGGUCAGAUCCUGAAGUGCUACCAGGAACACAGUGGGAAGACUCUGCUCUGCUCCACCAUCGCCUCCCGCUACCUGCAGUGUGUCAACCAAGCUAAACAGAACAAGUUGAGGACUGGGGGCUAAGCGGGAGGUGCUGUGGCAUUACGGUUUACCAACCCUUUAUCGACUGCAAAUGAGUGGAGAGGAGAGUAAGCACCAGAGAUCGCAACCCCGACUCGAGGUAGAAUCAGAACUGCAACCUGACCAGAACCAGGAACACAAGAAAACCAGACAACCCUGAGAGAGAGAGAUGGACACCCCUUAGCCCAACACCCUUCUCCCCCCACCCCCACUGACCCCCAAACCCUUUACUCCUUCGUAAGAUCCCACCUACAGUACCUACACCCCUUCUCCCCCACCCCACUCCACUGCAUGUCUAUCUCUACUACCAAGAGGGAGGAGGACAACGGUAGCACUUCCUAAAGAGUACAGCGCAGUAGCUCCAUCACGCAGCAGCAGUAGGAGAAGUGCAACUGUCCUCCAUGUUGGAGACGCAUGAAUACAUGCAGAGACGGAGAGUUUAAGUCUAGGCGGAGUCCACCAGAACCAAUGCAGGCCCAGAGCUGAAGAUAUCCUCACGGACUGAACCACUAUCAUUACCAACACGCACCACCACCCAACCAGCUCACCCCUCUUACAAAGCCACUAGUCCGCCCCAUCACCACACCCUCUAUCAUAAACCUACAUGAUCACAUGACUUCUAUCCACCAGGCUUCACCCUACUGUAUCCCUCUAUCCACUAUAUAAACCUACAUGAUCACAUGACUUCUAUCCACCAGGCUUCACCCUACUGUAUCCCUCUAUCCACUAUAUAAACCUACAUGAUCACAUGACUUCUAUCCACCAGGCUUCACCCUACUGUAUCCCUCUAUCCCUGUGCGCUGUCCUGCACACACCAUUGUAUUAGUAAUGCAUCUGCUUGUUUUGUUUUCAUCCUAACCGUGUCAAAAUCACGUCUGAUCAGAGGAAAUUAAAGAAUGAUACCGGAAUUGA